rnacentral:tRNA from 1 species
GAGCCUGUAGCUCAGCCUGGUUUAGAGUGCUGGUCUUAUAAGCCAGUGGUCCCGAGUUCAAAUCUCGGCAGGCUCA